AACAUGAGAACUCUAUCUGGAUCGUACAAUGGAUUCAAAUAAACACAAUUAAUUGAUGGACAAAGACAAAAGAAUGUAGUUCGAAACUCGUAGGUACGCCAAAGCUACUGAAGACAAAUCUGGAAUAAAUAGGGACACAAGCCCGUUAAAUUUACCCCACGCGCAAAUGGUCGACAUAAAUAAAAUUGCUUACAGUUUUUCAAAUUAUCACUUAAUCCUGUUGUAACAACGGUCGUGCGAUAUUCCGACGCACUUAGCACCGAGAAAAAAUACUCGCUGAAAGCUUCAAGAAAGUUCACCACUUUUCUAUUUCAUUUUAACAAUGGCAAUUUUCAAUGCGAUGGCUGUUCAAACGGGUCUUUUAUUACACAAAAGUAUCCUCCAACAAGGUCUCGUUAUGCACUACAAACUAACUUCUUCCGUAAACGGACAAACUACAUUAACUUCUCAAAACACUUUAACCUAAACCCUGUGACGUUAUUAAUUAAGAUUUGGUGUGCGUAUUGUGGAACAGCCUGUAUGUACAUAAAGAAAACUUCGCUAAACUAAAUUGCUUAUCGCCAAGUGCAGGCGGGCAUUGUAAAACAUACACAUUUUUGAUUAUUUUUAUUUGAACGUGAGGUCUACUCAAGCACGUCGUAUUUAAAGUGUAAUUGCGUUCACCAAGCAAUUAAGUAAGCAGUAAUUUAGUCGCAAUUACCUAUAUUAGACGGAUAGCUGUAUUAUUGACAUUCCUCACAAACUGGAAAGGAUUGGGCUCGGAUUUGUGGGGACGGAGUCUCAUAGAGACUCCGGUUUACGGGAUACCUCAUUAUUACGGUUGGAAAUUGGGUAACCGUUUAAAUCAGCCACUCCAUCGGCUUACGAACGCUGCCAUCAACGUGACUGAGUACUGGGAUUAUUCGCUAGCUCCUGGCCGUCUUGCCUGUACCUGCUGCACCACCUGCAACCCCAACAUAGGAUCUAGUUCAUCUGUAAUCACAAUAGAUACUCACCGGAAGCGGAACCAUCUCAUCUCUACCAUACCUACCAUCUGACCAUAAGGGUGAGCGUUGCUGAGUGGUUGCGUGGAUGCGAGGGUGUUUGUAUUGUAUGUUAGUCUGUAAGCUAUCACAGGAUUUGUUAUAUUAUAUUGUAGUCGUCCAUCGCAUGUUUUGUAAUUAAAUAUAUAUAUGCUAACGUAUCCGAGUGUCUUCCGAA